rnacentral:rRNA from 1 species
UGGGGAAUAUUGGACAAUGGGCGCAAGCCUGAUCCAGCCAUGCCGCGUGUGUGAAGAAGGCCUUCGGGUUGUAAAGCACUUUUGUCCGGAAAGAAAAGCAUUCGGUUACUACCCGGGUGUGAUGACGGUACCGGAAGAAUAAGCACCGGCUAACUUCGUGCCAGCAGCCGCGGUAAUACGAAGGGUGCAAGCGUUACUCGGAAUUACUGGGCGUAAAGCGUGCGUAGGUGGUUCGUUAAGUCUGUCGUGAAAGCCCCGGGCUCAACCUGGGAAUGGCGAUGGAUACUGGCGGGCUAGAGUGCGGUAGAGGAGAGUGGAAUGCCCGGUGUAGCAGUGAAAUGCGUAGAGAUCGGGAGGAACAUCAGUUGCGAAGGCGGCUCUCUGGACCAGCACUGACACUGAGGCACGAAAGCGUGGGGAGCAAAC